GCGGCACCUGCCCAAGGCGUCCAAAUGACACGCGAGGAGGGGUGGUGAGCAGCCGCCCGAGUCCCACUCCGCACAGGAGGAAUGCAGUGAGAGCAUCUUCCUGGAGUGCGACCUGGACGCGAGCCUCAUGGACUCCCUGUACGGAGCGCUGUAGGCCUGCCGUCCCCUCCCGCCAUCAAGAACGCUUCCCUGUCUUGUAUAUUUCGCAACAACUUAUUUAGAGGCGUCGCAAUUGUAUAAACAAUGCUGCACUGCGUUUCCGCGCAGUAGAAGAUGUUAAUGAUAUCCCUUCAAUGAAAACAAUUUCAGUAUUUGUAAGGACUUGUGCAUUAUUAUAGUCUCAAAAAUUUUUGGCACACAGCUUUGAAAGCUGCGGGUAAUUGAACACCUUCAGUUUCGAGCUAUCGCUAUAAAUAUAGGCUCCUCAUAAUGUAAAUCUUGCGUUUCGAAAGAGCCUAUCGCCGUCAGUUAACCAUAAUGUGCAUUUUCUUAUUGUUGUUUACAGAUAAUGUCACGUGUCACAAUAGAAGAUUGCUUUCACAAUGUGUACCUACCUACUAUUCGUGGCCAUUAUGCAUUGUGUAUUUUGUCAAGGUUUAGGUCAGGCGCAAGAAUAUCGCGAAAAUAACCCAAAAGAGUUACUAAAGAGCUGCUUUUAACAUCAUUCUUAAAACAUUGGGCCUACUUAGUACGUACCUAAUAAUAACGUAGAUCCAGGGUCUGUCGCUCAUCUCGAAACAAGUGAAAGAGCUAAAUCAAUCCAAAAAUACAGAUUAGGUUGCGGUGCGGAAUAGCCUCAAUGUAUCUGUCGUGGUAUCGCAUGCAGUUGCAUGUUCUCUAGAGAUAAGUUAAAUCUCGCAUGACCUACUUAAUGAUCGAUCUUACUUAUUUAGACAGCCUAAUACAAUAUUGUCACACAAUCUCGUACACAGCUCUCUCUAAUCGAUCGAUAUAUCACUCCAUAUUAUGGAAUACAUAUUACCUACUCACAUGAAAUGGAAGUACUGCAUAAAAAUGCGAUAGUCAGUGCCCUAAAUACCUUGGCUACACAACUCCCAGUCGUAUUUUAAAUUCACAAGCUGUCUGCAGUCGUCAGCCCUUGUUUCACAUUCGAAUAAAUUUGCCUUGACCUCAGAAAACAAAUCCAUUAUACAUUAUGAGCAUACUUUACAAACAUCCAUCUUUUUACCAUUAUUUUCUUACAAAGAAAUUGCUCACCGAUUGGUGUCACUAAGGGAACCGUUACAUAAGCUCUAAGUAUUCAUUAGAUAUGAUUAGUUAAUUUAUUAAGUUAAUUUAUAAGAGAGCAAGGAAUAUCCAAGAUAUUAUAGUUAUCUUAAUAUUAUUAUUGAGUAAUGCAGUUAGUCUAUAGGUGUUAGUUGAUAAACGUAGACACAGGCGCGUCUUCGGGUCUAACGACCACCAGAGAGCUUGAAACAAAACUUGUCUUAUUACCAAUCUACAUAAGUACCAGAUUAGAAAAUAUUGUCAAAUUCAGUAGCAAUCGCUGGUCGUUAUAUACGAGGACGCUUUGAAUACACUUUCUAGUCUCGAUUCAAUACAGAUUUUUUCUAUUCCAUUUACUUACACUAACAAGCUUUUGCCUGAUAUAUCCUUCACGUUUCGUCAUGUACUAAGUAAUCUUACUUACCUAUACGUACAAACAUAGAAGUAAAUUAGUAAGUACAUAUUGUUAAUUCUUAUGAAAUACUUUACUUAUUAACAAUGUAAAAAUAUUUGAAGGAUCCUUAUUGCCUCCGUCCAGUGAAAUCAUGUAAUACAGUGCCUUGGAACAAGUCUGUCUACAUGCUUUUUGUAACAUAGAUACUCGUAUCAUCGUAUCACUUGUAGAGGACAUGGGUGACACUGCGCUAAGAAGCGCAAUUGCGCUAACUCAGUGUUGACUAACUUCUUUAAAAUGUUAGCGCAAUUUGCAGAAGCGAUCAUUCAGAAAGAUGUCAAAAUGUAGAGUUCCCGCAAAACGCAGUGAAUUCUUUAAACAUCUCUUACUCAGUAGAGUCAAAAAUGAAGUGAUUUUAUAAGUGAAAACAGAUUUUUUUUUGUUGAGUUUGCCGCAAUAACUCACUGAGUUAAGAGACUUUGCGAGUGACCCAUGUCUAAUUGUAGGAGAGUCAUAUCCCCUUAUCGUGUAAGUGCAUGCCAUGUUGAUAGUCACUAGUUGCCUUUAAGUUAGUCUGCCUCGUGCUGGUCGACCCACAUGUGCCUUGCAAAUGCCUGAGUAAUUAUACUUAGUGUCCUUAUAUUGACGUAGAGUUCUGUAGGAGCAACGUGAAAUCGUGUGAUGCCCCAAAAAUUUAUAUCUUGAGGUGAUAUAAUAUACCUAAUAGUCUGUAAUAUGGCAAAUGGAAUGUAUAGGUUACAUACAAUGUGUGUGAUGUUACCUCCACGAUAAAAGUGUACUUUAUUGAGAUCGAUAAGUCAUGUCUAAAAAUUCGAAUUUUACCAAAUUUCAAGAAGGAUGAAAAUAUGAACAAAGAUUUCAUUUACCACGCAUACUAUACGAGUAUUUUUGAAAUAAUAAAAUUUUAAAAUGCUGUGGAUUUAACACAUUUCAAUAAAAUUAUGCAAUAGUCUGAAAAGUUUAAAUAUCUAGUUAGGCAUAUAUGUAGGUAUAUCUCGAAUGUAAAAAUAUUAGAAAUUCUAUCAACACUGCAUGUUAUUUGCUCAUAAACUUUUAUGGUUGGAUCUUAUUCAAAAUCUCCAUCACAGAACAAGUAUUAUCAACAAGUCGAAAUACUAACCCGGGGUAUUUUCCUUCACCUUAACGUGAAAGUUAUUGUCAUUGAAUUCUGUAAUUUAUUAUUUUCUGUAAGAAAUUUCUACUUCGAAAGUGCUGCCACCACACUGUUAAAAUAAAUAACUGAAACAACAACUGGAAAAAUAGUUCUGUACCCUGAAAAGGACGUAGCCUGUGGACGUACCUGAAAAGUAUACUAAAAUAAAAUCAAUUUAAAACCAAAGUCUAUUAUGUAAUUAUAAUAAUAUAACUAAGUUUUAUACUAAAAAAGAAGAGUAUUUUAAUACAAUCUUAUAAAGUUUAACACAAAGAAAUAAACAAAAUAUUAGGAUCGUGGCAGCACUACCGUUUAAAAAUAUGCCCAAUAUUGCCUUAGCGCACCCUCAAAUCAUAUCUUGUUUAAUAUGUAUGAUUUCAUCCUUUGCGAUUACAUAUUAAUUGAUAAUUUUGUUGUGCUAAUCAUAAUGGAUUGGAAAAGUAUAUUUUAAAAUUAACUACAUCCAAUAAAUACAACUAUGACAGUAGUUCUAUUUAUGAUAAAUGAUUGUAGUUAAAAUCUUGCCACUCUAUCUUGCAUUUAGUUAAUAGUGAAACUUUACCUACUAAAAAUAUAGUUCUGUAAUUUUAUAUUAUCUGUGAGAAUGUGAAUUUAAGCCAAAAGGUAUAUGAGUGCUAGAUUAUUCUCAGAAUGACAAUUAACUUAGAAUAUGAAUUAGUUUCACAGUGUCAUAGGAUUCGUCAUCUAGUCUAAACCAUUUCAAGAGCUGAAUGGCACCUGAACAAAUACAACUCUGGUAGUAUUUUAUCAGUUUAAGAAAGUUAUAAAUAUUAUAUUGUUCUUUGAAGUAAUCGCCGAAGCGAGUGUAUAAUCAAAUGUAAAAGCAAAUAAUCUCAAAAUGAGUUUGCUUGAGCUCGCCUGUUUUGUUAUUUCUAUUUUCGUGCUAAAACUACACGUCCACAGGUUGGCUUUGCACAGUAUUAGGGUUGCCACGUCUUCAAAUCGGAAAGCCGGAUAAAUCUACGCUAAUCAAUAUGGAGGAUUAAGAGUCUGGUUCUUCAAUCUCUAGAUUAUUUUUCAUGUUUACUUGUAGUAAGCAAGACGUCACCAACUCUGGCGGAACAGCCAAUAGAAACUAUAAUAUCCGGCUUUUUCCGACCAAAUAACAACCCUAAAGUUUAUUUAAGACUAAUAAUUUAUUACAGUCACAUAAAAUGUUAACGUAACUGGAAUAACUGUUGGGUGCGCUUAUUUUUAGGACGAAAAAGUUAUGAGUGAGCACAUAAAAUAUUUUAAGUCUAACAGUCUCAUUAGACAAAAUUAUCGCAGACUUAGAAAUAAGUGAAUGUUUAAUAAUGGAGUUAAAGCUGAUUAUUUGCCAUAAACGUGUCUGUAGAUGCCAUAUUUCGUAGUUAAAAAGAGUUGAAUCAAUUUAAUUUUAGGUGUACGAGAAGACAGUAGUCAUAAGUGGUCUUUAUGUAUAAAACCAAGUAUAGUACCUCACUAUCUCCUAUUCUUGCUUAUUCCUUGAACUUAUUUUUUCAUUAAUAAUAUUAUAAUUAAUUAAGUACGUUUUUAUUUCACUAGUAAUGUUAAUUAUAAGUCUAGUUAAGAAUGUUGACUAAGUCACAAGAUAAUUUAUUACCAAUGACAUGUUUUUAAAUUCUUUUUAUAUUACCUAUUUUUUGUAUAGUUGAGUGUAAAAAGUUGAAAUAUAUAUUUUGAUGAAACACAUGAACUUAUGUUAAUUGUAUCUAACAGAAGGAGUAGCCAGAUGUGUGAUUUACUAACCACUUGUUUUUACUACUUCGACAUCUCUCACUACUUUCAGAUGAAAAUAAGCCAAAUACUUAUUUGACCAUUACCUUACCAAUAUUACAGUUUCUAAACUACUGUCCAGUGCUACAAAAACUACUUGUAAUAAAAUUAAUAAUGCACCUAUCCAUACCUAUCUAAAAUGUGUCAAGGUUUACUUAGGGCUGAUUUUACCAUCGCGGGAUAACUUUAUUGGCUGAAGAAUAAGUUUGGCACAUUGACAGUUUCAGUAUGGGAAAUAUGUCAAAAUGACAAGUUUAUUCUUCAGUUAAAAGUUAUUUAUACGAUGGUAAAUCAGCCCUUAGUUGAAUUUGACUGUAUAGAGUUCGACUUCAUGUAGCAAUAUUUCGAACAUUUACAAAGAGUCGUAAUGUAAUAAAGCUGGGAAGGCAGACAACUGCAGCGAGUGAUUGCUUCAAAACCUGGGAGGUUUCACUACAUAGAGUUUAAUAUAAAACGACGUUAUACUGAAAAUAACAACUGAACAUAUUUUUACCUUACUAUGUAGUGAUCGGUCAUGUAAAUAUUAUUAUGUAAAUCAAUGUCAUGUAAAACACAAAUCAAAUGAAAAUAGAGUAAGUAUGCAUAGGUGUAUUUAACAUACAAAUUGGAUGCAGUAAUAAGUUUGCCGAUAUCAGCAUGAAUUCAUUUUGCAGUAAUUUCAAAAUAAACUUAAGAAAUUAAUUAAAAACCACAAGCUAUGGGUAAUGAAAUCGAAAUUCUAUUUAGUCCGUCAAACAGAUAAUAAAAACAUUUUGAACACAUAUUUUUGAUUUUUUUUUCAUAAUCUAAUAAUUACAGUAUUAUAUUAAGUUGAAAUGUCGCGUGACGUCACUUUUGAGUAAAAAUUCUAUUCAAGCGUCACGUAACGCGCCAAUUCAACUUGAUGUAGCACUCUUAUUAUUUAAUUAUGAAAAAAAUAAAAUAUAAGUGUAAUAUUUUCUAACUAGCGGCCGCCUGCGACUUCGUACGCGUGGAUCCAGUUUUAACCCCUUCAUCUAUCUUACGCGGUUUAGAUUUUUUCAUACAAAAUUUUUUCCCGUUAACUCCCCUUCCCGUGGGAAUUUUGAAAUAUCCUGUUGUAACUAAGCUUUUAGUUUAGGUAGGUACUAAGAUACCUGCAUGCCAAAAUUUCAAGCGUCUAAAUUAAGCGGUUUAGAUUUUUCAUACAAAAGGAUUUUCCCGCUAAUUACCUACCGUUCCCGUGGGAAUUUUGCAAUAUCCUGUUGUAAUUGUUGUAACUAAGCUUUAAGUUUACUAAGAUACCUGCAUACCAAAUUUCAAGCGUCUAACUUAAGCGGUUUAGAUUUUUCAUACAAAAGGAUUUUCCCGCUAAUUCCCGUUCCCGUGGGAAUUUUGCAAUAUCCUGUUGUAACUAAGCUUUAAGUUUACUAAGAUACCUGCAUGCCAAAUUUCAAGCGUCUAACUUAAGCGGUUUAGAUUUUUCAUACAAAAGGAUUUUCCCGCUAAUUACCUACCGUUCCCGUAGGAAUUUUGCAAUAUCCUGUUGUAAGUGUUGUAACUAAGCUUUAAGUUUACUAAGAUACCUGCAUACCAAAUUUCAAGCGUCUAACUUAAGCGGUUUAGAUUUUUCAUACAAAAGGAUUUUCCCGCUAAUUCCCAUUCCCGUGGGAAUUUUGCAAUAUCCUGUUGUAACUAAGCUUUAAGUUUACUAAGAUACCUGCAUGCCAAAUUUCAAGCGUCUAACUAAAGCCGUUUAGAUUUUUCAUACAAAAGGAUUUUCCCGCUAAUUCCCGUUCCCGUGGGAAUUCCUAAGUGUACUAUAACCUGCCCAGGAGUACGAAGAAUAAUUGUACCAAGUUUCGUUAAAAUCCGUCGAGUAGUUUUUGUUUCUAUAAGGAACAUACAGACGGACAGACAGACAGACACACAGUCAAAAAUUUUACUGAUCGCAUUUUUGGCAUCAGUAUCGAUCACUUAUCAUCCCCUGAUAGUUAUUUUGAAAAUAUAUUUCAUGUACAGAAUUGACAUCUCUACAGAUUUAUUAUAAGUAUAGAUUAUCUGUCUUACGGAAAAUUAAUUGAAAUUUUGUCAUCUAGCCUUAGUAUGAGUUUAUGCUGAUAUCAUUUGAAGGUCAUCAAUACUUGUGUAAUCGUACAAUAAGAAUACUUACCCGCUGUUUAGUGCCAUUGAUUUUCCCUUUAUUUCUGCCUACGCACUGUGCCAUAAAAGCAAAUUUUUACAUAAUUAAGGUUUAGGUACCUCUUUAAAAGCAGCUAGCACCGUGUCUGAAUCUAAAAUUGUCACAUCUUCAAAAAUGUUGAAUAAAUGUGCGUUAUCAAAUCGAAAAAUGCUUGAAUAAAGUUUUGUUGUGUUUGAAAGAAAAUGUUGUACAGUCAGCGUCAAAUAAGUAAGUAGUUAGUGAUACGUGGUGAUACACAAAGUGGUCAAAAAGUUAACAACGCAAUCUUAUUCCAAUUGUAACAAAGACGUGUUGCGAACUUUUUGGCUACUUUGAGUGUCACGAAUUACCUAACUGUACCUGUACGCUGACUGUACCUACGUAGUAUUCUAAUGAUUUCCACACGUGUGCAAGCUGAUCUUAAAGAUUUACCUCUCAGUCGUAAAGUAAACGAUAUUAUUUGUAUUGUAAAUUCUGUUUUACUACAACUUUCACAUUUCAGAACAAAUUAAAUAUAGUCACAUUUA